rnacentral:rRNA from 1 species
UACGUAGGGUGCAAGCGUUGUCCGGAAUUAUUGGGCGUAAAGAGCGUGUAGGCGGCCCGACCAGUCCGCUGUGAAAGUCUAGGGCUCAACCCUGGAAUGCCGGUGGAUACUGUCGGGCUAGAGUCCGGAAGGGGCGAGUGGAAUUCCUGGUGUAGCGGUGAAAUGCGCAGAUAUCAGGAGGAACACCAAUGGCGAAGGCAGCUCGCUGGGACGUGACUGACGCUGAGACGCGAAAGCGUGGGGAGCAAACAGG